GACGGAGGAUGCAAGCGUUAUCCGGAAUGAUUGGGCGUAAAGCGUCCGCAGGUGGCAGUUCAAGUCUGCUGUCAAAGACCGGGGCUUAACUUCGGAAAGGCAGUGGAAACUGAAGCGCUAGAGUGCGGUAGGGGUAGAGGGAAUUCCCGGUGUAGCGGUGAAAUGCGUAGAGAUCGGGAAGAACAUCGGUGGCGAAAGCGCUCUACUGGACCGCAACUGACACUCAGGGGCGAAAGCUAGGGGAGCGAAUGGG
rnacentral:rRNA from 1 species